rnacentral:rRNA from 1 species
GGUUAAGCGACUAAGCGUACACGGUGGAUGCCCUGGCAGUCAGAGGCGAUGAAGGACGUGCUAAUCUGCGAUAAGCGUCGGUAAGGUGAUAUGAACCGUUAUAACCGGCGAUUUCCGAAUGGGGAAACCCAGUGUGUUUCGACACACUAUCAUUAACUGAAUCCAUAGGUUAAUGAGGCGAACCGGGGGAACUGAAACAUCUAAGUACCCCGAGGAAAAGAAAUCAACCGAGAUUCCCCCAGUAGCGGCGAGCGAACGGGGAGGAGCCCAGAGCCUGAAUCAGUGUGUGUGUUAGUGGAAGCGUCUGGAAAGGCGCGCGAUACAGGGUGACAGCCCCGUACACAAAAAUGCACAUGCUGUGAGCUCGAUGAGUAGGGCGGGACACGUGGUAUCCUGUCUGAAUAUGGGGGGACCAUCCUCCAAGGCUAAAUACUCCUGACUGACCGAUAGUGAACCAGUACCGUGAGGGAAAGGCGAAAAGAACCCCGGCGAGGGGAGUGAAAAAGAACCUGAAACCGUGUACGUACAAGCAGUGGGAGCCUCUUUUAUGGGGUGACUGCGUACCUUUUGUAUAAUGGGUCAGCGACUUAUAUUCUGUAGCAAGGUUAACCGAAUAGGGGAGCCGAAGGGAAACCGAGUCUUAACUGGGCGUUAAGUUGCAGGGUAUAGACCCGAAACCCGGUGAUCUAGCCAUGGGCAGGUUGAAGGUUGGGUAACACUAACUGGAGGACCGAACCGACUAAUGUUGAAAAAUUAGCGGAUGACUUGUGGCUGGGGGUGAAAGGCCAAUCAAACCGGGAGAUAGCUGGUUCUCCCCGAAAGCUAUUUAGGUAGCGCCUCGUGAAUUCAUCUCCGGGGGUAGAGCACUGUUUCGGCAAGGGGGUCAUCCCGACUUACCAACCCGAUGCAAACUGCGAAUACCGGAGAAUGUUAUCACGGGAGACACACGGCGGGUGCUAACGUCCGUCGUGAAGAGGGAAACAACCCAGACCGCCAGCUAAGGUCCCAAAGUCAUGGUUAAGUGGGAAACGAUGUGGGAAGGCCCAGACAGCCAGGAUGUUGGCUUAGAAGCAGCCAUCAUUUAAAGAAAGCGUAAUAGCUCACUGGUCGAGUCGGCCUGCGCGGAAGAUGUAACGGGGCUAAACCAUGCACCGAAGCUGCGGCAGCGACGCUUAUGCGUUGUUGGGUAGGGGAGCGUUCUGUAAGCCUGCGAAGGUGUACUGUGAGGUAUGCUGGAGGUAUCAGAAGUGCGAAUGCUGACAUAAGUAACGAUAAAGCGGGUGAAAAGCCCGCUCGCCGGAAGACCAAGGGUUCCUGUCCAACGUUAAUCGGGGCAGGGUGAGUCGACCCCUAAGGCGAGGCCGAAAGGCGUAGUCGAUGGGAAACAGGUUAAUAUUCCUGUACUUGGUGUUACUGCGAAGGGGGGACGGAGAAGGCUAUGUUGGCCGGGCGACGGUUGUCCCGGUUUAAGCGUGUAGGCUGGUUUUCCAGGCAAAUCCGGAAAAUCAAGGCUGAGGCGUGAUGACGAGGCACUACGGUGCUGAAGCAACAAAUGCCCUGCUUCCAGGAAAAGCCUCUAAGCAUCAGGUAACAUCAAAUCGUACCCCAAACCGACACAGGUGGUCAGGUAGAGAAUACCAAGGCGCUUGAGAGAACUCGGGUGAAGGAACUAGGCAAAAUGGUGCCGUAACUUCGGGAGAAGGCACGCUGAUAUGUAGGUGAAGUCCCUCGCGGAUGGAGCUGAAAUCAGUCGAAGAUACCAGCUGGCUGCAACUGUUUAUUAAAAACACAGCACUGUGCAAACACGAAAGUGGACGUAUACGGUGUGACGCCUGCCCGGUGCCGGAAGGUUAAUUGAUGGGGUUAGCGCAAGCGAAGCUCUUGAUCGAAGCCCCGGUAAACGGCGGCCGUAACUAUAACGGUCCUAAGGUAGCGAAAUUCCUUGUCGGGUAAGUUCCGACCUGCACGAAUGGCGUAAUGAUGGCCAGGCUGUCUCCACCCGAGACUCAGUGAAAUUGAACUCGCUGUGAAGAUGCAGUGUACCCGCGGCAAGACGGAAAGACCCCGUGAACCUUUACUAUAGCUUGACACUGAACAUUGAGCCUUGAUGUGUAGGAUAGGUGGGAGGCUUUGAAGUGUGGACGCCAGUCUGCAUGGAGCCGACCUUGAAAUACCACCCUUUAAUGUUUGAUGUUCUAACGUUGACCCGUAAUCCGGGUUGCGGACAGUGUCUGGUGGGUAGUUUGACUGGGGCGGUCUCCUCCUAAAGAGUAACGGAGGAGCACGAAGGUUGGCUAAUCCUGGUCGGACAUCAGGAGGUUAGUGCAAUGGCAUAAGCCAGCUUGACUGCGAGCGUGACGGCGCGAGCAGGUGCGAAAGCAGGUCAUAGUGAUCCGGUGGUUCUGAAUGGAAGGGCCAUCGCUCAACGGAUAAAAGGUACUCCGGGGAUAACAGGCUGAUACCGCCCAAGAGUUCAUAUCGACGGCGGUGUUUGGCACCUCGAUGUCGGCUCAUCACAUCCUGGGGCUGAAGUAGGUCCCAAGGGUAUGGCUGUUCGCCAUUUAAAGUGGUACGCGAGCUGGGUUUAGAACGUCGUGAGACAGUUCGGUCCCUAUCUGCCGUGGGCGCUGGAGAACUGAGGGGGGCUGCUCCUAGUACGAGAGGACCGGAGUGGACGCAUCACUGGUGUUCGGGUUGUCAUGCCAAUGGCACUGCCCGGUAGCUAAAUGCGGAAGAGAUAAGUGCUGAAAGCAUCUAAGCACGAAACUUGCCCCGAGAUGAGUUCUCCCUGACUCCUUGAGAGUCCUGAAGGAACGUUGAAGACGACGACGUUGAUAGGCCGGGUGUGUAAGCGCAGCGAUGCGUUGAGCUAACCGGUACUAAUGAACCGUGAGGCUUAACCUUACAACGCCGAAGGUGUUUUG